GCUUGGCCAUAGCUGAGCGGUAGAGCAUCUGCCUUGCAUGCCAGAGCUCGUAGGUUCAAUCCCUGGUACCGCUGGGUA